rnacentral:rRNA from 1 species
GAUGAACGCUGGCGGCGUGCCUAACACAUGCAAGUCGAGCGGAGGCGCCUGAAGAGCAAUCGGCGGGUGUCUGAGCGGCGGACGGGUGAGUAACGCGUGAGCGAUCUGCCUUUCACAGGGGGAUAACGCAGCGAAAGCUGCACUAAUACCGCAUGCGACCACGGUACUGAGGGUACAGGGGUCAAAGGAGAGAUCCGGGGAGAGAGGAGCUCGCGUCCGAUUAGGUAGUUGGUGAGGUAACGGCCCACCAAGCCAAUGAGCGGUAGCCGGCCUGAGAGGGUGAACGGCAACAUUGGAACUGAGAGACGGUCCAAACUCCUACGGGAGGCAGCAGUGGGGAAUAUUGGGCAAUGGGGGAAACCCUGACCCAGCAACGCCGCGUGAGGGAAGAAGGUUUUCGGAUUGUAAACCUCUGUUCUUGGAGAAGAGGAGAAGACGGUAUCCAAGGAGGAAGCCCCGGCUAACUACGUGCCAGCAGCCGCAGUAA